AUAAAGUGGCGAACGGCUGAGUAACACGUGGGCAACCUGCCCUUUGCACUGGGAUAGCCUCGGGAAACCGAGGUUAAUACCGGAUACUCCAUAUUUGUCGCAUGGCGAAUAUGGGAAAGCUCCGGCGGCAAAGGAUGGGCCCGCGGCCUGUUAGCUAGUUGGUGGGGUAGUGGCCUACCAAGGCAAUGAUGGGUAGCCGGGUUGAGAGACCGACCGGCCAGAUUGGGACUGAGACACGGCCCAGACUCCUAGGAGGCAGCAGUU
rnacentral:rRNA from 1 species